rnacentral:rRNA from 1 species
CCUACGGGUGGCAGCAGUGGGGAAUAUUGCACAAUGGGGGAAACCCUGAUGCAGCGACGCCGCGUGAGUGAAGAAGUAAUUCGUUAUGUAAAGCUCUAUCAGCAGGGAAGAAAAUGACGGUACCUGAGUAAGAAGCCCCGGCUAACUACGUGCCAGCAGCCGCGGUAAUACGUAGGGGGCAAGCGUUAUCCGGAUUUACUGGGUGGAAAGGGAGCGUAGACGGCAGUGCAAGUCUGGAGUGAAAGGCGGGGGCUCAACCCCCGGACUGCUCUGGAAACUGGAAGGCUGGAGUGCAGGAGAGGUGAGUAGAAUUCCUAGUGUAGCGGUGAAAUACGUAGAUAUUAGGAGGAACACCAGUGGCGAAGGCGGCUUACUGGACUGUAACUGACGUUGAGGCUCGAAAGCGUGGGGAGCAAACAGGAUUAGAUACCCGAGUAGUC